rnacentral:rRNA from 1 species
UACGAAGGGGCUAGCGUUGCUCGGAAUCACUGGGCGUAAAGGGUGCGUAGGCGGGUCUUUAAGUCAGGGGUGAAAUCCUGGAAGCUCAACUCCAGAACUGCCUUUGAUACUGAAGGAUCUUGAGUUCGGGAGAGGUGAGUGGAACUGCGAGUGUAGAGGUGGAAUUCGUAGAUAUUCGCAAGAACACCAGUGGCGGAAGGCGCUCACUGGCCCGAUACUGACGCUGAUGGCAACGAAAGCGUGGGGAGCAAACAGG